CGGAGAAGUAACGUUAGGACACAGAACAAGUUUGUGACUGACUUAAUGAACCCAGUUGGUUUGGAUCAUGCUCAGAGAUGUAAGGGUUACAAAAAGUUAACCAGAACUCUUAUGGACUCCAUCUUGUCUUCAAAGAGAUGGCAACAUGAACGGGAAAAAAGGGGUUGUUGGUGAAAAAAGAGCCUUGACCUACAAAAGGUGCAGCUAAUAAUUGACUAUGUCAAAAAGAGGCACCCAGGCAUCGGAGGCACUGAGAUCAAGGUCUGCAUGGCACAAAAGUUAAGAGAUCUGAGGAGACGAGCAGAAAGGAUGCCUGCUGAAGGAGACACAAAGGACUGAGACAAUACACAUUUACAAAAGCACACCACUCACACACACAUGCGUGUAUACCUGCGUUUUUUGUGGCUUUUUAUGUAUUUAUGUAUAAUAUGUGUGCUAAACAAAAGUGUAUAUAGUUUCUCAUUGAUAAUUGUCUUGAGAUAUUCACAUUUAUAAACUUGUAUUAUUAUAAUCUCCUAAAGUCUUAGAAUUUUUAUGUUUUCAUGUUCAUGAUUAUUUUUUAUUUAAUUUUGUAAUACAUGUUGUUUAUAAAAAUACAUGUUCACGGCUUUUAUAUAUAGAUAAAUUUUUUUGCUUACAUUCAAUUUAUUGUAAUGAUUUUAUAUUCAUACAAUCAAUUGUUUUAAUUUUUAAAAAUAAUAUUACUAUUCAGGUCAAUGUGAACAAUAAACAAUGUCAGUUUCUCAUGAUAUUUAAUUAGUAUAUGAUCAUAUGUCCUACUUACAAUUAUUAAAUUAUUACAGGCUAAUCUCUUUAGUUUUAGAAUCU